rnacentral:lncRNA from 1 species
GGAGCUUUGCUGAAACUGCACAAAAAAUCGAGCUGGGGGGUUCCCUGGUCCCCGAUGUUGGGGCGGAGAGCGCGGCGCCGAGGGAGGGGGCGGCGCAGACCGGCCUAGGGGACACCUGGUCGAGCGCAGCCGCCGCUCCGCUCGAGCCCUGCGCUCCAGUGCCCCCACUGGCUGGAGAGCUCGCCCAGACCGGGGGUCUUCCUCCGUCGCUGACAGUUGUUACCUGUUAAGUCAUUAAGAACCAGAAAGGGUGAAACAAAUGAAAAAAAUAAAUAACGUUGCAUUUUCACCUCGAUUUGGGAGCAGUAAAAGAUUUUAACCAUUAGAAGAAUACCAGUUCUGGAAAACAACCAAAGUUUCUUUGAUUGAAUGCCCAUGUAAUGCAUUGGAAUAUGAUAGGCGAUUAAGGUUUAACAAUGUUAAAAUGAAGAUAUUACUAAAAUGGCCCUCUAAAUAGCCCAACAAUUAUUAUUUUCUUUGUCCUAUGGAUUUGGCUUUGAAAGAUGUGCUGCUCUUAAUAAGUGUGUAGUCAUUAAACCCAGAACCUCAGAGGGCUCUACUACUAAACCAUAUACCAGUACCAAAACCGAAAAAUAUUGACGAUACUUUUGUGCUGAAUAUUCCUCAGCCUUAACUUACUAAUGCUUAUGCCCAAUGGAUCUUCCUUCAUGAAGUACCCUCUCCUCCCCCCCAUUUAUCUUUGGUGAUUUUAAUAAAUAAUACCUUUGGAAAAUGA